rnacentral:lncRNA from 1 species
CCCUUUCUACCCACCUCUAAAAUAUGUAUAUAUUUGUCUUUCUUCAAUGAAGGCAGACAAAAUCAAGACCUCAUAGGGUGACCUGGCAAUUCCUCCAAGGUGCAGUGCCACGUGGCACACAGGAACAUUCAUCUCCCGACCUCUGUGAGAGAACAGAACUGUUUUUCUUUCACAGAACUCAAUUUUAUUUUUACAAGAAUGCAAUGCCAUUGCUACUACCUCUCUUCCCUCCUCCCCCAUUUAUCUCUACCCUGCUGAAGAUGAGCUUUCCAUUCCUACUUUUCUCACUUCACCCCAACACUCUCGGGCUGCCCCGGGCCCCCUCCCUGAGCUCGCUCACAGCAGGUUGUGGUGGGCGGUCGUCUUGCUUCGAGCUCCUCAAGCUGGAAAACUCUGCCAGAGUGAAUCACUUCGCUGCCUUAUUACAGCAGUUAGAAGCAAGCCAAAACUUGCCGUUCACCAGAGCUUGGAAAUCUGUGCCAAGAACUUCAUCAAUAACUGAAAGGCUGAAAGAAAUGCAAAGAGCAAACUUCUGGACAGGCAGAAUGAAAAAAAAUAAGGAAAACGUCCAAUAAAUUCUCAUCAGAAACAAAAUGUCUCCAAGCUUUUAUAGGUGAGGCUUAAAAGUGAAGUAACUUCUGACAUUUUCAAGGAAGUACCAGGCUUCUAAAAGCUUUAAGACAAAUCUGAAAUGGACACUCUAGAGUCUCAAAAUCACAUAUUCUAUAAGCACCCUUUAGCUCAGUCUUUUGUAUAUUAAACACAUUUGUCUAGAUUUCUGAUGGUGCUUUUAAAUCCCUUAAAUUCUGCUAUUUUAAUAACUUUAUUUUUACAAUUUUUAGUAGUUGCUGGUAAUUGACAAGUUGCUACAAGUUUAAUUUCACUGAUGAUAUUCUUAUAUAUUUGUGUUUAAUAUUGUAGGGCUAGGCAGCAAUGUCCCCUCUACUUACAUUAUCUAGUAUUUUCCAUGGUAGGAAAUAUUGUGUUUAGCUUUUAAUUCUUUAGGUGUUGGGAAGCUUUGAUGACUGAAUGCCUGGAGCUGCCCUUUGAAAUUGGUCAGGGAUAAAAUUCCAAAUCUGUAUAAGUGCUUCUUCUUUGUCCUGUGAAAUUAUGCAGCGAUUUUCUGGUCUCAGAUGCUGACAUUC